GAGAAUCGUAACAAGGUUUCCGUAGGUGAACCUGCGGAAGGAUCAUUGUCGAAGCCUGCACAACGCAGAACGACCCGCGAACAUGUUUUUAACACCGGCAGGUCGGGGGUACGCGAGAG
rnacentral:rRNA from 1 species